UCUACGGGAGGCAGCAGUGAGGAAUAUUGGUCAAUGGGCUUACGCCUGAACCAGCCAAGUCGCGUGAGGGAAGACUGCCCUAUGGGUUGUAAACCUCUUUUGUCAGGGAGCAACGCCGGCUACGUGUAGCCGGACUGAGAGUACCUGAAGAAAAAGCAUCGGCUAACUCCGUGCCAGCAGCCGCGGUAAUACGGAGGAUGCGAGCGUUAUCCGGAUUUAUUGGGUGUAAAGGGCGUGCAGCCGGAGAGACAAGUCAGAUGUGAAAUCCACGGGCUCAACCCGUGAACUGCAUUUGAAACUGUUUCCCUUGAGUGUCGGAGAGGUAAUCGGAAUUCCUUGUGUAGCGGUGAAAUGCGUAGAUAUAAGGAAGAACACCAGUGGCGAAGGCGGAUUACUGGACGAUAACUGACGGUGAGGCGCGAAAGCGUGGGGAGCAAACAGGAUUAGAUACCCUAGUAGUC
rnacentral:rRNA from 1 species